AGAGUUUGAUCCUGGCUCANAACGAACGCUGGCGGCGUGGAUAAGACAUGCAAGUCGAACGAGGUUAUCUUUGUAGCAAUACGAAGGUAGCCUUAGUGGCGCAAGGGUGCGUAACACGUGGGUCAACCUGCCCUGGGGUAUGGGAUAGCCCGCCGAAAGGCGGAUUAAUACCGUAUGUGGCUACCAAAUGCAUAUUUGGGACGCUAAAGUCGCUGCAAGGUGACGCUCCGGGAUGGGCCCGCGGCCUAUCAGCUAGUUGGUGAGGUAACGGCUCACCAAGGCUAUGACGGGUAGCUGGUCUGAGAGGACGACCAGUCACACUGGAACUGAGACACGGUCCAGACACCUACGGGUGGNAGCAGUCGAGAAUUUUUCUCAANGGGGGAAACCCUGAAGGAGCGACGCCGCGUGGAGGAUGAAGGUUUUCGGAUUGUAAACUCCUGUCAUUGGUGAACAAAGCCUUGGGUUAACUGCCUAAAGGUUUGCUAGUAGCCGAAGAGGAAGGGACGGCUAACUCUGUGCCAGCAGCCGCGGUAAUACAGAGGGUGCAAGCGUUAUCCGGAUUCACUGGGUUUAAAGGGUGCGUAGGCGGACUUGUAAGUCCGUGGUGAAAUCUCCGAGCUUAACUCGGAAACUGCCAUGGAUACUAUGAGUCUUGAAUGUUGUGGAGGUUAGCGGAAUAGUUCAUGUAGCGGUGAAAUGCUUAGAUAU
rnacentral:rRNA from 1 species